UACGUAGGGACCAAGCGUUGUUCGGAUUUACUGGGCGUAAAGGGCGCGUAGGCGGCUUGACAAGUCACUUGUGAAAUCUCUGAGCUUAACUCGGAACGGCCAAGUGAAACUGUCAUGCUAGAGUGCAGAAGGGGCAAUCGGAAUUCUUGGUGUAGCGGUGAAAUGCGUAGAUAUCAAGAGGAACACCUGAGGUGAAGGCGGGUUGCUGGGCUGACACUGACGCUGAGGCGCGAAAGCCAGGGGAGCAAACGGG
rnacentral:rRNA from 1 species